rnacentral:rRNA from 1 species
UACGGGGGGAGCAAGCGUUGUUCGGAUUUACUGGGCGUAAAGGGCGCGUAGGCGGUCAGCACAAGUCAGUUGUGAAAUCUCCGAGCUUAACUCGGAAAGGUCAACUGAUACUGUGCGACUAGAGUGCGGAAGGGGCAACUGGAAUUCUCGGUGUAGCGGUGAAAUGCGUAGAUAUCACUCGGAAGGCCAACGGCGAAGGCAGGUUACUGGUGCGCAAUUGACACUGAUGCACGAAAGCGUGGGGAUCAAACAGG